rnacentral:tRNA from 1 species
GGUGUGGUGGCGAAAUGGGAACGCUGCGGUCUGCAAAACCGCCAUGAGCCGGUUCGACUCCGGCCCACACCUCCA